GCCCUACUGGCUAAUGGUAAAGCAUAGGCUUUCUACAGAUGUUGAAAUGAUCCUAAGGUUGAGGGUUCGAGUCCCUCGUUGGGUU